rnacentral:rRNA from 1 species
AGCAGUAGCCGCGGUAAUACGUAGGGUGCGAGCGUUAAUCGGAAUUACUGGGCGUAAAGCGUGCGCAGGCGGUUGUGUAAGACAGGUGUGAAAUCCCCGGGCUUAACCUGGGAACUGCGCUUGUGACUGCACAGCUAGAGUAUGGCAGAGGGGGGUGGAAUUCCACGUGUAGCAGUGAAAUGCGUAGAGAUGUGGAGGAACACCGAUGGCGAAGGCAGCCCCCUGGGCCAAUACUGACGCUCAUGCACGAAAGCGUGGGGAGCAAACAGGAUUAGAUACCCCCGUAGUCCCUGUCUCUUAUAC